rnacentral:rRNA from 1 species
AGAGUUUGAUCAUGGCUCAGAAUCAACGCUGGCGGCGUGCCUCAGACAUGCAAGUCGAACGAUUAAAGCUCUCUUCGGAGAGUGCAUAGAGUGGCGCACGGGUGAGUAACACGUAAGUAAUCUACCCUCGAGUGGGGAAUAACGUCCGGAAACGGACGCUAAUACCGCAUAAUGCAGCGGCACCGCAAGGUGACAGUUGUUAAAGGAGAAAUUCGCUUGAGGAGGAGCUUGCGGCAGAUUAGCUUGUUGGUAAGGUAACGGCUUACCAAGGCUACGAUCUGUAACCGGUCUUAGAGGACGGUCGGUCACACUGACACUGAAUAACGGGUCAGACUCCUACGGGAGGCAGCAGUCGGGAAUUUUGGGCAAUGGGCGAAAGCCUGACCCAGCAACGCCGCGUGAAGGAUGAAGUAUUUCGGUAUGUAAACUUCGAAAGAAUAGGAAGAAUAAAUGACGGUACUAUUUAUAAGGUCCGGCUAACUACGUGCCAGCAGCCGCGGUAAUACGUAGGGACCAAGCGUUGUUCGGAUUUACUGGGCGUAAAGGGCGCGUAGGCGGCUUUGUAAGUCACUUGUGAAAUCUCCGGGCUUAACUCGGAACGGCCAAGUGAUACUGCAAUGCUAGAGUGCAGAAGGGGCAAUCGGAAUUCUUGGUGUAGCGGUGAAAUGCAGAUAUCAAGAGGAACACCUGAGGUGAAGACGGGUUGCUGGGCUGACACUGACGCUGAUGCGCGAAAGCCAGGGGAGCAAACGGGAUUAGAUACCCUAGUAGUCC